rnacentral:rRNA from 1 species
AACGAACGCUGGCGGCAUGCCUAACACAUGCAAGUCGAACGAGAUCUUCGGGUCUAGUGGCGCACGGGUGCGUAACGCGUGGGAAUCUGCCCUUUGGUUCGGAAUAACAGUUGGAAACGACUGCUAAUACCGGAUGAUGACGAAAGCCAAAAGAUUUAUCGCCAGAGGAUGAGCCGGCGUAGGAUUAGCUAGUUGGUGUGGUAAAGGCGCACCAAGGCGACGAUCCUUAGCUGGUCUGAGAGGAUGAUCAGCCACACUGGGACUGAGACACGGCCCAGACUCCUACGGGAGGCAGCAGUGGGGAAUAUUGGACAAUGGGCGAAAGCCUGAUCCAGCAAUGCCGCGUGAGUGAUGAAGGCCUUAGGGUUGUAAAGCUCUUUUACCCGGGAUGAUAAUGACAGUACCGGGAGAAUAAGCUCCGGCUAACUCCGUGCCAGCCGCCGCCGUAA